rnacentral:rRNA from 1 species
UACAGAGGUCUCAAGCGUUGUUCGGAUUCAUUGGGCGUAAAGGGUGCGUAGGCGGCGCGGUAAGUCGGGGUGUGAAAUCUCGGGAGCUUAACUCCGAAACUGCAUUCGAUACUGCCGUGCUUGAGGACUGGAGAGGAGACUGGAAUUUACGGUGUAGCGGUGAAAUGCGUAGAUAUCGUAAGGAAGACCAGUGGCGAAGGCGGGU